GAUGAACGCUGGCGGCUUGCCUAAUACAUGCAAGUCGAGCGAACGGACGAGAAGCUUGCUUCUCUGAUGUUAGCGGCGGACGGGUGAGUAACACGUGGAUAACCUACCUAUAAGACUGGGAUAACUUCGGGAAACCGUAGCUAAUACCGGAUAAUAUUUUGAACCGCAUGGUUCAAAAGUGAAAGACGGUCUUGCUGUCACUUAUAGAUGGAUCCGCGCUGCAUUAGCUAGUUGGUAAGGUAACGGCUUACCAAGGCAACGAUGCAUAGCCGACCUGAGAGGGUGAUCGGCCACACUGGAACUGAGACACGGUCCAGACUCCUACGGGAGGCAGCAGUAGGGAAUCUUCCGCAAUGGGCGAAAGCCUGACGGAGCAACGCCGCGUGAGUGAUGAAGGUCUUCGGAUCGUAAAACUCUGUUAUUAGGGAAGAACAUAUGUGUAAGUAACUGUGCACACCUUGACGGUACCUAAUCAGAAAGCCACGGCUAACUACGUG
rnacentral:rRNA from 1 species